CAAUGUCAGUUUAGCAUAGACAUGGUACGGACGGGUAUGGAUGCAGCAUGGGUGAGUGGUAAAAGAAAGAUAGGUGUGGAUGGGGGCAGGAGAGAGAGGUAAUAGAGUAGAGAGAGAGACAGAGGUAAUAGAGUUCUAGGUCGGUCUGGAAGGAGGAGGUACCGGCCGGUGGGAGGGCUAGACCUCCAGAGGCUGGUCUAAUAAGGGGAGGGGUGGUGCCGUACGCCGUACCUCAGGGCCCUAGCGAGCGGCAGUUGGUUACGAUACGCCUAGACCGCUCAGGAUUGAGUGGUUCUAGGGUACUGCCUGUUCCAAACAAGGCGGAGGAGGACUUCGACAGCUCCUGGUACUUGCGGUGAAGGAGAGUGGCCAAGUCGUGGUUGUGUAGGUGAUGGGCGUCCACACGUUUUAACGAACAAGGGACUACCUAUAUCAUCGUGUACCUAGGUAGUGGAAACCAGAACAGACCACAAGAGGCCAGGCACUACUUAAAGCUUCCUACUUUGUCUCCGACCCGCUGUCCCUCUAAAUCGACCUUCUCACAACGGACCACGGUCUAGGCGGUACUUCACUCGACCGGGAGAGGGAGAGUACGGCUGUAGCCGUAUAACGGACGAAGAAGGGGGCCGAACUACUUGGAUGGAAGCGGUUUAACUACCUAAAAUUAUGUCUCUUUUGAUCAAGUUAACUCAAAAUAGAAUUUUUUCCGAUCAGUAGCGGACUACCGGUAACAUAUGUAUUUUAUCCGACGUCAAAUAAAAAGGACAUGACGACGUUAUUCCGUUGCAAAGUAGUGAUAAGUCAAGAUACGUUAAGGGAAAGACAAAAAACGAGACCCAGUACUCGUGAUUUAAAAUUUCAAAGGUUGUAUCUAACGUUAUAAUACCCGUCUUAACAUGUUCUUGAAAAACCUACAGAGGCAGCGUGAAACGGCUUUAAACAACUGC
rnacentral:rRNA from 1 species